rnacentral:rRNA from 1 species
CUGAGAGGGCGACCGGCCAAAUUGGGACUGAGACACGGCCCAAACUCCUACGGGAGGCAGCAGUGGGGAAUAUUGCACAAUGGGGGAAACCCUGAUGCAGCGACGCCGCGUGAAGGAAGAAGUAUUUCGGUAUGUAAACUUCUAUCAGCAAGGAAGAAAAUGACGGUACCUGAGUAAGAAGGCCCGGCUAACUACGUGCCAGCAGC